CCUCGGCGCCCCAUGCGGUGACAGCUCCAGGUCCUGAAGACUGACGCUCCUCCGGGCAGCCCCCCCGCCCUCUACGUCCGUCACCUGACAGCGACCAGGAACGGGCUGGGCGCGUCCGCGGCGCUCGUGCCGGCUCCCGGUUUCUCUUGCUGUGCUCCUGGCGCCCCUCGCCGAGGGUCUUCCACGUCUCCAAACCGGAUGAUUUAACACGAGAAAAAGAAAGAAGGAAAAACAAAGCCAGAUCACGUCAUUGCGCUCCCCGCCAUUCAGGAGGCCAGAUGUCAGUUUUGAAAGAAAUGGCGCUAGAAUCUGAGAUGCGGGGAAAGGAAACCGCUGCUUGCAGCCAACGCGACACCGCCACCCUGCGUGGUGCUGGCGGUGCCAGAGGACAGGCUGGCCUCCGGAUCAGAAACUAAUUCUUUUAGUGGCUGUGAGUGGCAUGAGAGAAAUGUGAAAGGCAUCAAGAAAAAUCAGAGGUAAGAGGAGAAGAGAAAGACCUUAAAAUUAAACUAAGUACUUACUUUGCAAAGUAUCUUUUCUGUCUCACUUUAUAUAAACGUGUCUGUUAUUUUCCAACUAACUGGUGGAGGUGGUGCUUAUAAAGAUUUUUCCCUCCUGGAACUCCAGAAUUUUAAAAUAUGCCUUUCUUUUCCAUUCUUCUAUAUAUUUUUCCUUGCUUCUCAUACCAUGGCAAAAUUAUUACUAAUAAAUAUCAGCCCUCACAGUCACAUGUGUAACAAACUCAUAAGUGAUAAAACUUUAGUGAUGGUAGGGAACUUAGAAGUAAUAUAGUCCAACUCCCACCUUUUAUAGAUGAAAAAAUUGAGGUUAAUCCAAGUUACAUUGUUUAGUAAGUCAUGUGUUUAAUUAAAGAACCAGUAAUGGAACCCAAGUCUUCCAUCUUCCAAUCAAGUCUGAAUUUCUCUUUCCUCGAUCUGCUCUUUCUUGCCGGGGGUUUAUAUAUAUUCAUAAAACAAAAAACAAUAGAAUAUGUUACUGUGAUCCACAACCACAUUUUCUUAUUUUAGUUUCCCUUAAUAUCAUGUUAUCUUCAGAUCCCACAGUUUCUUUACGUUAGGAGUAAAAUCACAUUUCACAUUAAUUUCAAGGGAUUACUUUUCAUUACUCAGCCUCAUGCAACUAGCCAAUUUGAAUGUCUUGGAACUUAAGAAAUAGAGGACAAAAUAAGGAUUUCAUAAAUCAAAUGGAUAGUUUUUAAAUUAUCAAUUGACCUCUUUCAUAAAGAAUGCUUCUUAGUAGUUGUAAAACAAUAAAAACUUUAAAAAUACCAUUCUGGUAGUCAGUUAUGACUGGGUGCUUACGUGAUGACUACAAUUGUAUUUUCUGUCCUGUGGCUUAACUUGAAAAUGGGGGAUUUCAUUAUUUUUGUUCCCAAAGUGAUUUUUAGGUCACUCUUUUGGGGGCUAUUCAUGCUGUUGACAUUUUCAGAUAGAUUUAAAAACAAUAUGUUCAGAUUUAUUAGAUACGAUAGAAAGAAAAAGUAUCCUAGGGACUUAUCAGGGAGAUCAGGACAGACUUCCUUUGCACAACCGUGGAGUGAAUAUAUUGGGAUCCGUGAAAGACUACUUGUUAAUCUCUCACUUCCCUCAUAUGGGAAACAAUACCUAUCUCCCAAGUUUAUUUUAAGUGUUAAAUGAACAAAUGUAUGUUAGAGCAUGCCUGGCACAAGUUAUAUGUCAAUAAAUGUUUAUAUAUUUUUUCCCCCAAAAGAUAUACUCUGAUUCUCAAUCAAGCUUCCCCAGUAAUAUAUUUGGGGAAAUAAAGAAUUGAUGGAGAGGUAAAAUUUUUAAAAUUUAGCUCAAAAGCCCCUCUUCUUAUUAAUCUGAAAUUAAUUUUUCUGUUCCCUCUUCUCUUAUACAACACACACACUCUACAUGUAUAAAUCUUUCAAUGUAUGUGGAACGAGUUUAUAUAAAUUUUUGUUGGUAUCACUUAACAAUUAUUACAAACAGUGAGAGAUAUGAACCCUUUUGAGUCUUUAACAUUUCUCAGCAGUUAGUGAUAGGUAAAUCCAUGAACAUACAUUUUAAAGCCAAUUUACCCACAUCUUGGAGUCCAAUCUCUGUUGUUUUUCCUUUAUUAAAGCAGUGAAGUAUCAGUUGUUUCAAUACUGCAAUGAAUCAAACAACACUGGAAAUUAAGUCCCAAAACAGUGCACCUUUAGCAGGUAUUAAGACAUUCCCCGAGUCAUAAUUGUCAUAUAUUGUCAACAAUUCUAUAUUCAGUCUACUUCUUCAGCAACCACUUGGAAGUAUCUGGAGAUAAUUUACUGGCUAAGUGCAUCGAUCUUGUAAAAGACAUUUGGAGCAUUUCACAGUUUGACCCCCUGAGACGGUCUAGUAAAGUCAGAGAAAAUGUAACAAAUAAAUAGGUUAAGCUCGAAAGUGAUCUAGGCGUGGUGCUGCACUAGCCUCACCAGAGCUGCAGUCCUUCCUAUCUCUUUACCGAGCGCCCUUGCCGAAUUACUUUGUUGUUUAAAGUCUCCUCAUUAAGAUUUUUUAAAAAAUAUAUUUUAUUGAUUUUUUACAGAAAGGAAGGGAGAGGUAUAGAGAGUUAGAAACAUCGACCAGCUGCCUCCUGCACACCUCCCACUGGGGAUGUGUCCGCAACCAAGGUACAUGCCCUUGACCGGAAUCGAACCCGGGACCCUUCAGUCCGCAGGCUGAUGCUCUAUCCACUGAGCCAAACCGGUUUGGCCUCAUUAAGAUUUUUACCGAAGAACAAUGCAGAAGUACAAACUAUCACGAGAUCUUUCCAAGUGGCGCGUGUCUGUAUCCUAUCCCUAUUGUAUAUAGAUGAAGCAAACCAUUAGUUCACAGUUUUGUCUCCUGCUUCUACCCCAGUAACCCCCCUCCCUCCUGCAGCAUUUUGUUCGCUGAGCAGGAAGCUCUCCUGGACUGAAUAACAAACAGCAAGUGCCGGCCCCGUCCUGAGAGCUGUCUUGCGCCAACUUGACCCACGGAUUUUAGGAUAUAAAGGCGAAUUCAAGGUGGUUCCCAUUUUCUCCUCCAGUCGCUUUCCGGUGGCGCUGUCUCCAGGACUUGCAGUGAAUACGGUUUUGCAGGUGACUUGCUGUGUCUCGCAAGAUAAGUAAAGCUCUACGCCUCCUGACAGCCACAGCAGCCCUCACCGUCCUCCUCUGGUCCUCGGUCUUCGGGUUUGCCCGUGAGCCCCAACUGAGGACUUACGAGGGGCUCCAUCAAGGUCAGUGCGGUGACCAUCUCUCCGACCUCCCAUCAGAGGCCAAUCCCGCUGCCUCCGACCCCCCAUCUCCAGGGCCCUUCAUGGCCUUCGUCGCACACCGCUUUUCCGCCAGUAAACGGCAGCGGGGAACGAAACAUUCCGCCCCCAAAUCUCGCUGAACACCUCUGGCCCCACCUCUCUGCCUUUGGCUACAGGUGAGGGUCCAAGGGUGGGACCCAGAAAAGAAAAAAGAAAAAGGAUUUAUUUCUGGCCUGCCCCUCCUUCCCUUGAGGAAUCCAGUCGCCCAGGAAGGCUUUCCGAAAGCCGCUCUGCGUCGCAGCCUUGGUUGAACUAAGUUGGGGAUGGGGAGCUGGGGAGAAAAGAAAAGUCGUUGUGGGCAGCUGGGUGCGCCCGCCAUCAGUCUCCCGCGGUGGCGCACAGGUACCGGACGAUGUCGCGGUGGCUCCGCUCCUCAGCCAGGUCCACGGGCAGGCGGCCCCAGGCAUCGCGCACAUCCAGCCGCGCCCCGGCUCGGUGCAGCGCCACCAGCGUGUCCAGGAAGCCCUCCCGGGCGGCGUCGUGCACGGGCCGCGUGAGGGUGGCGGGGUCCGCGCAGUUGGGGUCCGCGCCGUGGAUCAGCAGCAGCUCGGCCACGCGGGUGCUGCCCAUCAUCAUGACCUGCGGGCGAGAGCAGAAUGGUCAGGGCGAGGGGAAAGCGAGAUGCAGGCCUGGGCAGGGACAGGUAGACCAUUUCAAACACAUGAAGUAUCUACUUUAUGCAGAGGUGCUCACAAGCCCCAGGAAUCUGGUUAAGCUCAUUUGCUGACGCAAUAUUUCCCUCCUCCCAGUCCCCCCACCUGCUCCAGGUAUACUCUUUACUGAGGUUCAGUUAUAUUUUCCAAAUAUGCAAGAAAGAGCUGAUGAUAAUGUGCUUUUCUUCAUUGUGAGAAAAAAAGAAAAAGCUGACUUCCAUUUGAACAUGGGAAUCCAUUUUGUUAAAUGACUAAUAGGUGGACUUAAGUUUAAAGGCUUUUAAAAUCUGAAAUUAUUUCUCUUGCUCUGUCCUCUCUCCCCAGACAUAAUCCGUGUCUAAAAAUCUUUAUUAGGCAGUCAGCUGAUGCUAUAUCUUGGAAGUUAGAGUAAUGCUUUAGGGGAGAAAAUGAGAAACAACUAAAUUUAAAAUAAGGCUUACUUUGUUUAGUUCUCACAGUAAAUCCCCUGUGGAAGGCCUUUGCUUUUCAGUCACGUAUGUCUGUGCUUAUAAAUGUAAUAUAGUCCUACAAUUUGAACCAAAAUUGAAGCUAGAGGGGAAAAUGUAAAGAGACACACACAUUGUUUUAUAAACUAAUGAAAACCAAUUAUUUGUUGUUAAUAAAUGGGUCACCAUUUUAAAUAUUUAACUUAAUGUUAUAGAGAAGGCCCAAAGUUUAGCGGGUGGUAGACUUAAUGUAACAUGUAAUAUUAAUACUAUAUUUACAUUGUACAGGAUUUUAUAAUAUUAAAUAGUAAAUGUUUUGCUAUAUGAAAAGAACUUGGAUGCCAGUAGUUGAAUCAGAACAAUGCAUAACUUAGAAAAAGGAUGUUUGGAGCAGUAAUCCUAUAGCACCCAUUUGUAUAAAUACACAUUAUGCAAACAUUUACUUUUUUACUUUAACAAUAAAACAACUUUUGACAACUAAA